rnacentral:rRNA from 1 species
AAUGAACGCUGGCGGCAGGCCUAACACAUGCAAGUCGAACGCACCUUUCGGGGUGAGUGGCGGACGGGUGAGUAACGCGUGGGAAUAUGCCCUUUGGUACGGAAUAGUCCUGGGAAACUGGGGGUAAUACCGUAUGUGCCCUUCGGGGGAAAGAUUUAUCGCCAAAGGAUUAGCCCGCGUUGGAUUAGGUAGUUGGUGGGGUAAUGGCCUACCAAGCCGACGAUCCAUAGCUGGUUUGAGAGGAUGAUCAGCCACACUGGGACUGAGACACGGCCCAGACUCCUACGGGAGGCAGCAGUGGGGAAUCUUAGACAAUGGGGGAAACCCUGAUCUAGCCAUGCCGCGUGAUCGAUGAAGGCCUUAGGGUUGUAAACUGCUUUUAUCUGGGAAUAAACCACUCUAUUUAUGGGGUGUUGAAGGUACCAGAAGAAUAAGCACCGGCUAACUCCGUG